CGCAACCUUCGUCCUUAGUUACCUAGCACGUUAUGGUGGGCGACUCUAAGGAGGACUGCCGGUGACAAACCGGAGGAAGGUGGGGAUGACGUCAAGUCAUCAUGGCCCUUACGGCCUGGGCUACACACGUGCUACAAUGGUCGGUACAAAGGGUUGCCAAGCCGCGAGGUGGAGCUAAUCCCAUAAAACCGAUCGUAGUCCGGAUCGCAGUCUGCAACUCGACUGCGUGAAGUCGGAAUCGCUAGUAAUCGUGAAUCAGAAUGUCACGGUGAAUACGUUCCCGGGCCUU
rnacentral:rRNA from 1 species